UACGUAGGGGGCAAGCGUUGUCCGGAAUCAUUGGGCGUAAAGAGCGCGUAGGCGGCCCUGUAAGUCCGCUGUGAAAGUCGAGGGCUCAACCCUUGAAUGCCGGUGGAUACUGCAGGGCUAGAGUCCGGAAGAGGCGAGUGGAAUUCCUGGUGUAGCGGUGAAAUGCGCAGAUAUCAGGAGGAACACCGAUGGCGAAGGCAGCUCGCUGGGACGGUACUGACGCUGAGGCGCGAAAGCGUGGGGAGCAAACAGG
rnacentral:rRNA from 1 species